UAGGGAAUCUUCCACAAUGGACGCAAGUCUGAUGGAGCAACGCCGCGUGAGUGAAGAAGGUUUUCGGACCGUAAAGCUCUGUUGUUGGUGAAGAAGGAUAGAGGUAGUAACUGGCCUUUAUUUGACGGUAAUCAACCAGAAAGUCACGGCUAACUACGUGCCAGCAGCCGCGGUAAUACGUAGGUGGCAAGCGUUGUCCGGAUUUAUUGGGCGUAAAGCGAGCGCAGGCGGAAGAAUAAGUCUGAUGUGAAAGCCCUCGGCUUAACCGAGGAAUUGCAUCG
rnacentral:rRNA from 1 species